UAUUGAAAAAGGUAAACUUGACGAAAGUCAAGGACACAAAGCGUGAAGUCUAAGGCAAAUUGCUAUGACGGUUCGGCUGCCAAA
rnacentral:ncRNA from 2 species